CAGAACGAACGCUGGCGGCGCGUCUAAGCAUGCAAGUCGGACGGCAAGGGUAGCAAUACCCCUAGAGUGGCGGACUGGUGAGUAACGCGUGGGUGACCUACCUGAGUGGGGAUAGCCAUUAGAAAUAGUGGAUAAUACCGAAUACGAUCGCGACACUUUGGUGAUGCGAUGAAAGGAGCUACGGCUCCGCUCGAGGAUGGGCCCGCGUCCCAUUAGCUAGUUGGUGAGGUAACGGCCCACCAAGGCGACGAUGGGUAUCCGGCCUGAGAGGGUGUACGGACACAUUGGGACUGAGAUACGGCCCAAACUCCUACGGGAGGCAGCAGCUAAGAAUAUUCCGCAAUGGACGAAAGUCUGACGGAGCGACGCCGCGUGGAUGAAGAAGGCCCGAAAGGUUGUAAAAUCCUUUUGCUGAUGAAGAAUAAGUGUGGUAGGGAAUGACCGCAUGAUGACAUUAGUCGGUGAAUAAGCCCCGGCUAACUACGUGCCAGCCGCAGC
rnacentral:rRNA from 1 species